GAAAGUAGCCGUUGAAGGCUAUUCAAAUCUCUUCACAGAUCUCGAGUUGCUUGAGGUAGACUACUUGAUGUGACAUGUCAUACUUUUUUUGACGCUGCAGUCUACUGUUUCACCUACCCUGUCAGAUGUAUCACUUUAAUGUCUUGGGCAGGUUGAAGACUUUAUUACCUCUUUCUGAUUUCUCAAUCAGAGGUUGUCCUAUUGCAUCGAUGCUCU
rnacentral:lncRNA from 1 species